CCAAAAACAUCUCUCUUUGUAUAAUAUAAAUAAAGAGUUGGGCCUGCUCGGUGAAACGUUUUAACAGCUGCGGUAUUUUAACUGUACUAAGGUAGCAUAAUAAUUUGCCUUAUAAUUUGAGGCUAGAAUGAAUGGUUUGACGAAGGUUAAUCUGUCUCUGCUUUAUUUUUUAGAAAUUAAUUUUCAUAGUGAAAAAGCUUGAAUUUCUUAAGGGGACGAGAAGACCCUACUGAGCUUAUAAUUUUAUUAUCACAUAUAUUUAUGUAUAAUGUGCUAUAUAAAUUUUAAUUGGGGUGAUUAAGGAAUAAUAUAGCUAUUUUAUAACUUCCUUAGAUAUUAUAUUGUUGAAUUAAGUAACCGAUUAAUUAAUAGAAUUGUAUUAUGUAUUGCUUAUAAUAUAGUUACCAUAGGGAUAACAGCGUAAUUUACUUAGAGAGUUCUUAUUGAAAAGUAAGAUUGCUGACCUCGAUGUUGGAUUAAAGUGACCUUAAGGUGC
rnacentral:rRNA from 1 species